rnacentral:ncRNA from 1 species
UGAAAUUCUAGGAUGAGGAAAGUAGGUUAUACUGAUUGUUAUAGCGAGUCAGGUUGGUGGGAGCUGACACAUAGGUAUAUCUGAAGAGAGCCUCGGAGGAGCUAUCUGAACUUAAGUAGGAUAUGCCGCUCCCCUGCGUUAAAGGGCUUGAGUGGGUAUACUUAUCUAUACCAAUUAGAGUGGUAACACGGGAUCAUAUCUCGUCUCUUUC